ACCAGACUCCUACGGGAGGCAGCAGUGGGGAAUAUUGCACAAUGGGGGGAACCCUGAUGCAGCGACGCCGCGUGGGCGAGGAAGUAUUUCGGUAUGUAAAGCCCUCUCGGCAGGGAAGAAGAAAUGACGGUACCUGAAUAAGAAGCACCGGCUAAAUACGUGCCAGCAGCCGCGGUAAUACGUAUGGUGCAAGCGUUAUCCGGAUUUACUGGGCGUAAAGGGAGCGCAGGCGGCGCGCCAAGUCUGAUGUGAAACCCCGGGGCUCAACCCCGGGACUGCAUUGGAAACUUCGAGGCUGGAGUGUCGGAGAGGCAGGCGGAAUUCCUAGUGUAGCGGUGAAAUGCGUAGAUAUUAGGAGGAACACCAGUGGCGAAGGCGGCCUGCUGGACGAUGACUGACGCUGAGGCUCGAAAGCGUGGGGAGCAAACAGGAUUAGAUACCCCCGUAGA
rnacentral:rRNA from 1 species